UAAAGCCGUGUGCAAUGAAAAUGCAAGCACGGUUUGGGAGGGUAUUUUACUUAUUUUAAGUAAAUUAUCGACUCCAU
rfam:Cucumis melo, WGS project CAJI01000000 data, contig: 50375